rnacentral:rRNA from 1 species
AAUAGAGAACAUUGAAGACUGAAGUGGAGAAAGGUUUCACAUGAACAACACUUGGAUGUGAGUUAGUCGAUCCUAAACGGUGGGUUAACUCCAAAUACAUAGAUACUUGUAUCUUGUACCGUGAAAGGGAAACAGGUUAAUAUUCCUGUACUAUAUCAAGGAGGUAAAGUGGUAACACAACUGAACUCAAAUACAUCAGUAGAAUAACCAGGAAGAGUUCUCUUUUCUUUUAACGACUUCUCCGCAAGGAGUGUAUAAUGACCAUGGAAUCAAUUUAGUUGGAGAAAUGGUUAAAGAGUCGGUAGAGUAAUUCAAUUUUCUGAAUUAUCUGGUUAGGUUCUAAUGGUACAUAAAAAUUUGAGGGAAUGAUCUUGCUUGAAUAGUCGUACUCAUAACCGCAGCAGGUCUCCAAGGUUAGAAGCCUC